rnacentral:rRNA from 1 species
UACGUAGGGGGCUAGCGUUGUCCGGAAUCAUUGGGCGUAAAGCGCGCGUAGGCGGCCCGGUAAGUCCGCUGUGAAAGUCAAAGGCUCAACCUUUGAAUGUCAGUGGAUACUGCCGGGCUAGAGUCCGGAAGAGGCGAGUGGAAUUCCUGGUGUAGCGGUGGAAUGCGCAGAUAUCAGGAGGAACACCAACGGCGAAGGCAGCUCGCUAGGACGGUACUGACGCUAAGGCGCGAAAGCGUGGGGAGCAAACAGG